rnacentral:ncRNA from 17 species
AGCCAUUAGCUCAGUUGGUAGAGCAUCUGACUUUUAAUCAGAGGGUCGAAGGUUGACCCAAUGUCAG